rnacentral:rRNA from 1 species
CGGUAGGGGGGAUAACUGUCCGAAAGGACAGCUAAUACCGCAUAUUCUGUGAGCAGGAAAGCGGGGGAUCGCAAGACCUCGCGCUUCCGGAGCGGCCGAUGUCGGAUUAGCUAGUUGGCGGGGUAAAGGCCUACCAAGGCAACGAUCUGUAGUUGGUCUGAGAGGACGACCAGCCACACUGGGACUGAGACACGGCCCAGACUCCUACGGGAGGCAGCAGUGGGGAAUUUUGGACAAUGGGCGCAAGCCUGAUCCAGCAAUGCCGCGUGCAGGAAGAAGGCCUUCGGGUUGUAAACUGCUUUUGUCAGGGAAGAAAUCCUCUAGGUUAAUACCCUUGGGGGGGAUGACGGUACCUGAAGAAUAAGCACCGGCUAACUACGUGCCAGCAGCCGCGGUAAUACGUAGGGUGCAAGCGUUAAUCGGAAUUACUGGGCGUAAAGCGUGCGCAGGCGGCUUUGCAAGACAGAUGUGAAAUCCCCGGGGCUCAACCUGGAACUGCAUUUGUGACUGCAAGGCUAGAGUACGGUAGAGGGGGA